GGGAAGGUAGCUUAGUGGUAGAGUCCUUGCCUUGCAUGCAUGAGGCCCUGGGUUCGAUUCCUCAGCACCA
rnacentral:tRNA from 1 species